CACCCCCACGUUUAUUUUACUUUUUUCCCUCCCCCCACUUGACAAUGACAGGUGAGCUGUCACUUCCCCCUUCUUCCGUUCGUCAUUUUCCGUCCACCCCCACGUUUAUUUUACUUUUUUCCCUCCCCCCACUUGAUAAUGACAGGUGAGCUGUCACUUCCCCCUUCUUCCGUUCGUCAUUUUCCGUCCACCCCCACGUUUAUUUUACUUUUUUCCCUCCCCCCACUUGACAAUGACAGGUGAGCUGUCACUUCCCCCUUCCCCCCC
rnacentral:lncRNA from 1 species